UUCACGUGGUGUCUAUUGUUAAAAAUGGUUAUAAAAUAAUUUCAUUAGUAUAAUUUAUCAUUGUAAUCAUUCACUAAAAGCCAAGAAAAAACUUUAUGAAAUAAAGCAUCAUUAAAAUAAUCAAACAUUAUUUAGUGUUAAUAACAUUUUUUUUGGUUUUUAGUUUGAAACAGCCUAACUUUUUGUUAACCAAACUAGUAUCAAGCACUAUAUGAAAGAUUUGAAGAUUUAUAAAGGUUGGUAAAUACUUUGUUUUGAUUACCUUUUUACCACUAUUGACUGAUAAUAGAAGUCACUCUGUAUAAGAAUAUUUUAACCAAAAAUUCUCCAAGUAAUCAAAAAUGCUUAAAAAAAAAAAAUGAUUAAUUUGGGGAAAGGGGGGGAUAGCCCCUCUCUUUUGAGAAUGGAUGCAACACUGAUGUAACUUUUACCGGGGUGGUUAAAACAUGGUCAACACAUUUAACAUGAGUUUUACACUUACCUUCAAUGUUUGGUGGUUGUCCAGUAUUAAUUUAUAGAACCUUUUUUAUACAGAAAAAAACUUUGUUUUGGGACUUUAGGAAAUAGUAGUUGUGUCAUUUUAAUUUUUUUUAAUUUUUUUUUUUAGGUUGGGGAGGGGGGUUAUUCUUCCCUCCCAUACAUCGAUGUAAACACGACUUAAAUUCGUAAUAGUAACACCACGUAAAUUCUUGUAGAACAUAAUUUUAUAUUGUAUACUAAUUGAAUUUUAGUAAAGAUAAAAAUAUUUAUGAAAA